AGACACGACACUAUCACUCUCAGUGUGCUGGGUACUCUGCUUUGGGUGUGUAGCUGUGUUCUUGUGGCAAGGAUUUGAACGGAUCUGAUCGGAAGACCCCUGUUUUCCUUCCAGCCUCUGCAAGUUGCAGACCUAGUGCACAGGUUUUGAAGGCUCAUCUGUGAAGCUGGGUAUGCUUGGAAACACACUAGAAAGGCAGUUAUGCAGGCAGCCUAAGAUGGAGUCAUCUGCUUUCUGCUGGGCCAGAAGGGUGAGGCCUCCUUUGCUUCAUUUUUCUUCUCCCCUUGGCUCAAGGAAGGAUGGCUUGGGUUUUGCAGAGCCAAGAGGAGUACUUUUGCCAGCCUUCAGGCUGGUUAGCCCCAUUCAGAUGCAUCAAACUCACAGAACAUCUCUCCCCAGCUGCAGGCUUAUGGAAUAGGAAAACUACUCAUUUUCCUUCGAGAGAGAGGCAUCCAAAGCAGAUAUUUCAAUAUAUUCCAAUUUAGCCGAGGGAAGCCAGAACAUGGAUGCUGUUGCCAAGGAAACCACCUCCUUCCUCCCAGUGUGCUGUGCAUACGUGUAUCACUCCAUCUCUUGGCUCUCCAAGUUUCUCAGAGCAGCCAGGUGAGCAAGACAACAAGGAAGAGUCCAGCAGCUGCUGACCAGAAGUCAAGCUGACCCUGCUUCCAAAGAUGCUUGUUUGAAGGAUAAUGAACACCAGGAGUGCUUAAGAAUAUACACUUUAAAGACCCUGUUAU